GUCCAGACUCCUACGGGAGGCAGCAGUGGGGAAUAUUGCACAAUGGGGGAAACCCUGAUGCAGCGACGCCGCGUGUGGGAAGACGGUCCUCUGGAUUGUAAACCACUGUCCCCAGGGACGAAGAUGACGGUACCUGGGGAGGAAGCUCCGGCUAACUACGUGCCAGCAGCCGCGGUAAUACGGAGGAUGCGAGCGUUAUCCGGAUUUAUUGGGUUUAAAGGGUGCGUAGGCGGGCUUUUAAGUCAGCGGUAAAAAUUCGGGGCUCAAUCCCGUCCGGCCGUUGAAACUGGGGGCCUUGAGUGGGCGAGAAGAAGGCGGAAUGCGUGGUGUAGCGGUGAAAUGCAUAGAUAUCACGCAGAACCCCGAUUGCGAAGGCAGCCUUCCGGCGCCCUACUGACGCUGAGGCACGAAAGUGCGGGGAUCGAACAGGAUUAGAUACCCGCGUA
rnacentral:rRNA from 1 species